rnacentral:rRNA from 1 species
GACGAACGCUGGCGGCAUGCCUAAUACAUGCAAGUCGAGCGGACUUGAAGAGAAGCUUGCUUCUCUGAUGGUUAGCGGCGGACGGGUGAGUAACACGUAGGCAACCUGCCCUCAAGCUUGGGACAACUACCGGAAACGGUAGCUAAUACCGAAUACUUGUUUUCUUCGCCUGAAGAGAACUGGAACGACGGAGCAAUCUGUCACUUGGGGAUGGGCCUGCGGCGCAUUAGCUAGUUGGUGAGGUAACGGCUCACCAAGGCGACGAUGCGUAGCCGACCUGAGAGGGUGAUCGGCCACACUGGGACUGAGACACGGCCCAGACUCCUACGGGAGGCAGCAGUAGGGAAUCUUCCGCAAUGGGCGAAAGCCUGACGGAGCAAUGCCGCGUGAGUGAUGAAGGUUUUCGGAUCGUAAAGCUCUGUUGCCAGGGAAGAACGCUUGGGAGAGUAACUGCUCUCAAGGUGACGGUACCUGAGAAGAAAGCCCCGGCUAACUACGUGCCAGCCGCCGCGGUAA